AGUGAACGCUGGCGGUAGGCCUAACACAUGCAAGUCGAACGGCAGCACAGUAAGAGCUUGCUCUUACGGGUGGCGAGUGGCGGACGGGUGAGGAGUACAUCGGAAUCUACUCUUUCGUGGGGGAUAACGUAGGGAAACUUACGCUAAUACCGCAUACGACCUACGGGUGAAAGCAAGGGAUCUUCUGACCUUGCGCGAUUGAAUGAGCCGAUGUCGGAUUAGCUAGUUGGCGGGGUAAAGGCCCACCAAGGCGACGACCCGUAGCUGGUCUGAGAGGAUGAUCGGCCGCAUUGGAAGUGAGACACGGUCAAUGGUCCUGAGGGAGGGAGCAGAGGGGAAUAUUGGACAGUGGGGGCAAACCUGGUCCAGCGGGACCGCGUGGGUGAAGAAGGCCUUCGGGGUGGGAAGCCCGUUUGUUGGGAGAAAAAAGCAGCAGGUUAAUACCAAGCUGUUCUGACGGUACCCGAAGAAGAAGCACCGGCUAACUUCGUG
rnacentral:rRNA from 1 species